rnacentral:rRNA from 1 species
UACGUAGGGGGGCAAGCGUUGUCCGGAUUUAUUGGGCGUAAAGAGCGUGUAGGCGGCCAGGUAGGUCCGUUGUGAAAACUCGAGGCUCAACCUCGAGACGUCGGCGGAAACCCUCUGGCUAGAGUCCGGAAGAGGAGAGUGGAAUUCCUGGUGUAGCGGUGAAAUGCGCAGAUAUCAGGAAGAACACCCGUGGCGAAGGCGGGUCUCUGGGCUGACACUGACGCUCAUGCACGAAAGCGUGGGGAGCAAACAGG